UACAGAGGGGGCAAGCGUUGUUCGGAAUUACUGGGCGUAAAGGGCGCGUAGGCGGCCUUCUAAGUCGAACGUGAAAUCCCCGGGCUCAACCCGGGAACUGCGUCCGAUACUGGAAGGCUUGAAUCCGGGAGAGGGAUGCGGAAUUCCAGGUGUAGCGGUGAAAUGCGUAGAUAUCUGGAGGAACACCGAUGGCGAAGGCAGGUCUCUGGGCCAUAACUGACGCUGAGAAGCGAAAGCAUGGGGAGCGAACAGG
rnacentral:rRNA from 1 species